CCCUCCUUGCAUGGUGCGGCGCGGCGGGGCUGACUGCAGUCAGGUCGCUGCGGGAGCGGAGGCAAAGUGGCGGCGGCUCCUCCUGCUGAGGAUACUAAGGAUAUAUGAAAAGCUCCACUUGAAACAGUCCUAGAAAAAAAAAAAAAAAAAGACUGGAAGGAAGAUUGGUUGUGUGAUUUAACCCCAGCCAGAAACCAAGCACUAUGCAGCUGCUCAGUCACUUCCUGAGAGGGGGAGGAGAACUCAAAAAAAGCACCAUCUUGACCACGCGCGCGCUAGGGAACGCCGCUCCAGCCACCGCAGCGGCCAUGCAGGAAUAAACUUCUCCAGCCACACAGGACAAGGUGUGCCUUCUCUCGUCCCUUUAUCUCCUCUCAGCGUCGGCCACAGAACGCAGCAAACCCACGCGGAGGCUCAACCCCAGAGCUCUGCACACACACGGCAGCCCCGGCCUCCCGGACAAAGCGCAGAGCCUAGCCAGGCUCCCGGGCUGUCCGGACCAGGGCAAGAAGAACGCAACGUGGCAGACUGGUAGACCAUGUCCUUGUUAUGAUAGUAAAUCUAGCACAAGGCAAUUAAAAUAUGCAUGCUGCAGUGCAGCAUGUUCUCAGAAGAUAUUCUGUCUGUAUUUAUGUUUCAAGAA